CCUACGGGUGGCAGCAGUGGGGAAUAGUGCACAAUGGGGGAAACCCUGAUGCAGCGACGCCGCGUGAGUGAAGAAGUAAUUCGUUAUGUAAAGCUCUAUCAGCAGGGAAGAAAAGGACGGUACCUGAGGAAGAAGCCCCGGCUAACGACGUGCCAGCAGCCGCGGUAAUACGUAGGGGGCAAGCGUUAUCCGGAUUUACUGGGUGUAAAGGGAGCGGAGACGGCAGGGCAAGUCUGGAGGGAAAGGCGGGGGCUCAACCCCCGGACGGCGCUGGAAACGGUACGGCUAGCGUGCAGGAGAGGUAAGUUGCAUUCCUCGUGUAGCGGUGAAAUGCGUAGCUCUUAGGCGGAACCCCAGUGGCGACGGCGGCUUACUGGACUGUAACUGACGUUGAGGCUCGAAAGCGUGGGGAGCAAACAGGAUUAGAUACCCCAGUAGUC
rnacentral:rRNA from 1 species